rnacentral:rRNA from 1 species
AUUGAACGCUGGCGGCAUGCUUUACACAUGCAAGUCGAACGGUAACAGGCCGCAAGGUGCUGACGAGUGGCGAACGGGUGAGUAAUGCAUCGGAACGUGCCCAGUCGUGGGGGAUAACGCAGCGAAAGUUGCGCUAAUACCGCAUACGAUCUAUGGAUGAAAGCGGGGGACCGUAAGGCCUCGCGCGAUUGGAGCGGCCGAUGUCAGAUUAGGUAGUUGGUGGGGUAAGGGCUCACCAAGCCGACGAUCUGUAGCUGGUCUGAGAGGACGACCAGCCACACUGGGACUGAGACACGGCCCAGACUCCUACGGGAGGCAGCAGUGGGGAAUUUUGGACAAUGGGCGCAAGCCUGAUCCAGCAAUGCCGCGUGCAGGAAGAAGGCCUUCGGGUUAUAAACUGCUUUUGUACGGAACGAAACGGUCCUGGUUAAUACCCGGGGCUAAUGACGGUACCGUAAGAAUAAGCACCGGCUAACUACGUGCCAGCCGCCGCGGUAACAC